rnacentral:tRNA from 1 species
GCGCCGGUAGCUGAGGUAGCGCAAGCGCCGGGCUGAACUACCGGAGACGUUGGUGCAAUUCCAACCCGGCGCACCA